rnacentral:lncRNA from 1 species
CCUUUGCUACUUGUUCCAUGAAGAAAAUCUAAAGCAAGUGUCUUGAUUAUAAGUGGAAAAUGACAGGGAAAGUAUCCAUCUUAAAGCUGCAUGUAGAACUCUGUGUAGUCUAGCACUUGGAAGUGGAGGAUUUGACUUUCUACAACUAAGGAAUCAAGACCUUAACAGCCAUGACUGCAGAAAGCAGAGGUCCAACACUUCCUUUCAGAGAUGGAUGGGAGACUAGCAUGCAGCACUAAGGACUUCAAAGCACCCAGGAAUUGCAUGGUGGCAUGGUAAGAUGUCCUGGUUUGUAGUCUGUACUUCUGAUGAUCCUUUUGCUCAGUGAUUAGCACUAGGCUGAUUUCAGAAAGCUACCCACAGCUCCAAGAUGUCAGUGAAACCAGCUACCAAGACAUCAUUGCCUGCACCUACUGUGAAUUAC